ACCACCAAAUCUCCCUCAUUCCUUCCAGUUACCUAUACCUUAUCCCAAUUGAUAAUAAAUAAAGAUUGCUUGUUGGCUGCUGCUAUGUAGUGUGACCUCAAUAGAUUUUUAAUAAUGAUUAGAAAAAUAAAGAACCACAAAACUCUGUCCAUAAAAAAUUUAUAUAGAGUCUCGGUUUAAUCCUCUUCCUUUUCUUCACUUUCAUACUCUUUGUUUUCGGGUGAUCAUAGUGUGGACAUGAAAAGAUCAAACUUCAAAAAAGCUACUUUGUGGAGGAAAAUGUCCAAACUUUGUGGAACAUAUGAACAAUAAAAUUAAACUAUCCCAAGAGAAUGAAUGAGUUGAUGUUCUUUGUGGAUCAUGUCUUUGACUGCUCCUCGAUGUAUCUAAACUCUUUUUUUUUUGUAAUCUCUGUAUAUCUAAGUAAUAUAUGUAUAUAGUGAGUCAAAUUUGACGUUUAGAUAUUUUUCUAGAGCUGGUUUAGGGACGAUUAAGGGUAUGGCUGUAAAUAUGCUCACUUUCAAGGGUAAAUAUUAAUAUCAAUAAAACACCUAUAGUCCUCAACAUAAUUCUGGAAAACUCCUUACCCUUUCAGCCUUUCAAUUGUUCUUUAAGAGCUAAUGUCUGCAAUUUAAGGGCAAUUAUUCUCUGAAGUUUUUGCUUAAACUUGUUUCUGCUCUCUUCAAAUUGCUCAAUUUUAUUUGUUAAUUUCAUUGUUGUUGUCGUUAUUAUCCAUCUUGAUUUUGUCAUUAUAUUUUUUCAUUUAUAUGAUCUAUUUUUCUGCAUUUAUUGUUCUAAUAGAAGAUAUAAAAAGAUUCAUCAAUACUCAUAUUUUUCUGCACAUUUCUUGGUUUGCUUUUGUUUACCUGGUACUUCUGUAAUUUCAAAUGAAUUUUUUAUUAGAUAAUGUUGUAUAAUACAUGUUAACUUCUUUGUAAUCGAUCUUGUUUUAGAUGGAGACAGUGUAUAACUGAGGCUAGCAAUUUAUUUUAUUUUUGUUCCUUGUAACUCUACAUCUUCUUGAUGUCAUUUUUUUAAAGAAAAAUAUGAAACACCUUCAUCAAAAAUGAUAGCUUUAGGAUAUUGAACUAUGGAAAGAGUGUUUGGGUUGAAGAGGUUAUUGCAGCUCUGACUUUUAGGAGAGUUGCAGAUGGUUAUUAUAUAAUAUCACUUGAAUCAAUACAACUAUCCAAAUAGGGAAUGGAAGAAUAACCUACAACCAAAAAAUCUCUCGUAAACCAACAAUUCUAUUUUUGUUGAAGUACUUUAGGUUUAGAAUGCUUAAAUAUUUCAACUGAUUAGUAUGUGUUGUUUUUCAGGCCUAUGGCACAGAUAAGAUGGAAGUUAGAGCUACACUUCCAUGAUGACCGUGUUUGCAUUUUUUGAUCGGUUUUUGAUACACACAUGAGAUAAACCUGUAACACAGCAAAUAAUUGGUGAUGGUAAAAUCAUUUGGCUUCAUCAGAUAUUUGAUAGUGAGGAAUGUUCCGGCAUUGGGUUGUGCUGAUCAGCUCUCUCAACUUUUCUCCACUUACGGUCAAAUCCAAGAAUGCGCCCUCUCCAUUCCUGUCUUUGGGGUUACUGUUAUUGUGAAUUUAAAGUCUUUUGGUUUGUUUUUAUCUUGUGCGUUCUUUACUGUAUCAGAAACAUCCGUGGUAUGGUCUGUGUACACUUACCCUCACUUUGUGGGUAUGUUGUUCUUGGGUCCGUUUCUAUAUGAAUCCUUGCUUUGAAUCUUCAAUGUUCUUAAUAGAGUACUUUUUAACUCUAUUUAGUUAGUUCCCAAAGGAGUAUGGCAUAUGAUCCUUUUCCUA